UACGUAGGAGACAAACGUUAUCCGGAGUUACUGGGCGUAAAGGGCGUGUAGGUGGUAGAGUAAGUCUGGCGUGAAAUUUUUCGGCUUAACCGGGAAAGGUCGUCGGAUACUGCUUAACUAGAGGACGGUAGAGGCGUGUGGAAUUCCGGGUGUAGUGGUGAAAUGCGCAGAUAUCAGGAGGAACACCGAUGGCGAAGGCAGGUCUCUGGGCCAUAACUGACGCUGAGAAGCGAAAGCAUGGGGAGCGAACAGG
rnacentral:rRNA from 1 species